rnacentral:rRNA from 1 species
GAUGAACGCUGGCGGCGUGCCUAAAACAUGCAAGUCGAGCGGUAAGGCCUCUUCGGAGGUACACGAGCGGCGGACGGGUGAGUAACACGUGGGAAUCUACCCCAAACUGAGGGAUAAGCACCGGAAACGGUGUCUAAUACCGCAUAUGGUCUUCGGAUUAAAGCUUCGGCGGUUUGGGAAGAGCCCGCGUAAGAUUAGCUAGUUGGUGAGGUAAAGGCUUACCAAGGCGACGAUCUUUAGCUGGUUUGAGAGGAUGAUCAGCCACACUGGAACUGAGACACGGUCCAGACUCCUACGGGAGGCAGCAGUUAGGAAUUUUCCACAAUGGGCGCAAGCCUGAUGGAGCAACGCCGCGUGCAGGAUGAAGGUUUUCGGAUUGUAAACUGCUUUUAUGUGCGAAGAAUAUGACGGUAACACAUGAAUAAGGAUCGGCUAACUCCGUGCCAGCAGCCGCCGCCG